AGAAUCAACGCUGGCGGCGUGCCUAACACAUGCAAGUCGAACGAGAAAGGGACUUCGGUCCUGAGUACAGUGGCGCACGGGUGAGUAACACGUGACUAACCUACCCUGGAGUGGGGAAUAACUGAGGGAAACCUUAGCUAAUGCCGCAUAAUACCUACGGGUCAAAGGAGCAAUUCGCUUCAGGAGGGGGUCGCGGCCGAUUAGCUAGUUGGCGGGGUAAUGGCCCACCAAGGCAAUGAUCGGUA
rnacentral:rRNA from 1 species